AAGAAGUAGUAAGUAAGGAAGGAUGUACAUAAUUAGUCAGCCAGAUGGAAGGUCUAGUGACCCUUCCUGACCUUCUAGGGUGAUCAGGAAGGAUAGCAAUAGGAGUAACAGGGGAAGGAGAAGGAGUAGGAGAGGGUUGUAGAUUGUCAGGUGGAAUAGGGUGUGAUGAUGGAGCAGGGGAGACAUGAAAAGGUGAAGAUUCAAUGGAAGAAACUGAAUCAAGAGAAG
rnacentral:lncRNA from 1 species